UACGUAGGGGGCGAGCGUUGUCCGGAAUUACUGGGCGUAAAGGGCGCCUAGGCGGUUUUUUAAGUCCGCUGUGAAAGACCGAGGCUCAACCUCGGGAGGUCAGCGGAGACUGGAAGACUGGAGUGUCGGAGAGGAGUGCGGAAUUCCUGGUGUAGCGGUGAAAUGCGUAGAUAUCGAGAGGAACACCUGCGGCGAAGGCGGGUUGCUGGGCUGACACUGACGCUGAGGCGCGAAAGCUAGGGGAGCGAACGGG
rnacentral:rRNA from 1 species